UCUUGCAAACUAAAGAUGGCGACCGGCGCACGGGUGAGUAACACGUAUCCAACCUGCCGAUAACUCGGGGAUAGCCUUUCGAAAGGAAGAUUAAUAUCCGAUAGUAUAUUAAAACCGCAUGGUUUUACUAUUAAAGAAUUUCGGUUAUCGAUGGGGAUGCGUUCCAUUAGUUUGUUGGCGGGGUAACGGCCCACCAAGACUACGAUGGAUAGGGGUUCUGAGAGGAAGGUCCCCCACAUUGGAACUGAGACACGGUCCAA
rnacentral:rRNA from 1 species